AGCGAACGCUGGCGGCAGGCCUAACACAUGCAAGUCGAACGGAUCCCUCGGGAUUAGUGGCGGACGGGUGAGUAACACGUGGGAACGUGCCCUUUGGUUCGGAACAACUCAGGGAAACUUGAGCUAAUACCGGAUGUGCCCUUCGGGGGAAAGAUUUAUCGCCAUUGGAGCGGCCCGCGUCUGAUUAGCUAGUUGGUGAGGUAAAGGCUCACCAAGGCGACGAUCAGUAGCUGGUCUGAGAGGAUGAUCAGCCACAUUGGGACUGAGACACGGCCCAAACUCCUACGGGAGGCAGCAGUGGGGAAUCUUGCGCAAUGGGCGAAAGCCCGACGCAGCCAUGCCGCGUGAAUGAUGAAGGUCUUAGGAUUGUAAAAUUCUUUCACCGGGGACGAUAAUGACGGUACCCGGAGAGGAAGCCCCGGCUAACUUCGUGCCAGCCGCCGCCGUAAGAC
rnacentral:rRNA from 1 species